GACAAGGUGGCCGAGUGGUUAAGGCAAUGGACUGCUAAUCCUUUGUUCUGCAUGCAUGGGUUUGAGUCCCAUCCUUGUCG
rnacentral:tRNA from 1 species